AACCUUCCGUAGUUCAUAAACGUGAUGAUUGGAUGUUCGUGCUUUUGUGUGACAUGUGCCUCCCACGAACCUUGUUACCACAUUGGCACAUUACCCGUGUGACA